UUCUCAAAGAGAAAGGUUAAUGAGCUGAUUACACAAGAUUCCUAUCUUGGAGAGAUAUGCUUGGUGAAUGACAUGAGAGCGCGUCUGCGCUGGACAGUGGGAAUUAGCAUAAACGUAUAGCUUGCAGUUUGCCGCCUGGGUGGACACAGCUAAACCAUUGUUAUGAUAAUGAGGAUGAUACAAAAAAUUAAUAUUUUGAAAUAGCCAAUGUCACAGGGCAACAGAAUGACGACAAUUGCUCUGCUACUGCAUUAUGAGAAUUAAUUACAAACCGAAUAUAUCGAAUAUACAUAUUUUGUUUGAUGUAUUAUACAUCAAAACGAACAUUUUCGAAAUACGGAGAAGACGCUUAAUUAUGCUACUUACGAUCGUUUAACUAUUCUGAGCAUUUCAAAAAAACGGUAAAGAAAAAUGGAAGGAAGCACUCAACUGAUAAAAGGUAGCUGAUCCAGUAUUUUUCAAUAUGAAAUUGCAACAUGUGGUUGACGUAUUAUACAAGCAUUGUGUUGUGAAUAUUAUGAUAUUUUUGAUACAUAAAACAUUUUAAAGCAUAUCCAUAAACUACACAUGAUCCACGUUCUCUCCGUUCAAUUUUACGUUUUUUUCACGAGAAAAUAAGAAACAUUUUUAAAAAAUAUUCUUUUCUUC